GAUGAACGCUGACAGAAUGCUUAACACAUGCAAGUCGAUGGGGAAGUGGUGCUUGCACCCUGGCAACCAUGGCGGACGGGUGAGUAACGCGUAAGGGACUUACCUGCAGGACUGGGAUAACAGGGGGAAACUCCUGACAAGACCGGAUAAUGUCAUGGAGCUGCAUGGCUUUAUGAUGAAAGGAGACGCCUGCGGAGAGCCUUGCGUCCUAUUAGCUAGUUGGUGAGGUAAUGGCUCACCAAGGCGAAGAUAGGUAGCCGGCCUGAGAGGGUGGACGGCCACAGGGGGACUGAGAUACGGCCCUUACUCCUACGGGAGGCAGCAGUGGGGAAUAUUGGACAAUGGGGGCAACCCUGAUCCAGCAAUUCUGUGUGCACGAAGAAGGUUUUCGGAUUGUAAAGUGCUUUCAGCAGGGAAGAAGUAAGUGACGGUACCUGCAGAAGAAGCGACGGCUAAAUACGUG
rnacentral:rRNA from 1 species